rnacentral:rRNA from 1 species
GAUGAACGCUGGCGGCGUGCCUAAUACAUGCAAGUCGAACGCUUCACUUCGGUGAAGAGUGGCGAACGGGUGAGUAAUACAUAAGUAACCUGGCAUCUACAGGGGGAUAACUGAUGGAAACGUCAGCUAAGACCGCAUAGGUGUAGAGAUCGCAUGAACUCUAUAUGAAAAGUGCUACGGGACUGGUAGAUGAUGGACUUAUGGCGCAUUAGCUUGUUGGUAGGGUAACGGCCUACCAAGGCGACGAUGCGUAGCCGACCUGAGAGGGUGACCGGCCACACUGGGACUGAGACACGGCCCAGACUCCUACGGGAGGCAGCAGUAGGGAAUUUUCGGCAAUGGGGGAAACCCUGACCGAGCAACGCCGCGUGAAGGAAGAAGUAAUUCGUUAUGUAAACUUCUGUCAUAGAGGAAGAACGGUGGAUAUAGGGAAUGAUAUCCAAGUGACGGUACUCUAUAAGAAAGCCACGGCUAACUACGUGCCAGCAGCCGCGGUAAUACGUAGGUGGCGAGCGUUAUCCGGAAUUAUUGGGCGUAAAGAGGGAGCAGGCGGCACUAAGGGUCUGUGGUGAAAGAUCGAAGCUUAACUUCGGUAAGCCAUGGAAACCAUAGAGCUAGAGUGUGUGAGAGGAUCGUGGAAUUCCAUGUGUAGCGGUGAAAUGCAUAGAUAUAUGGAGGAACACCAGUGGCGAAGGCGACGAUCUGGCGCAUAACUGACGCUCAGUCCCGAAAGCGUGGGGAGCAAAUAGGAUUAGAUACCCUAGUAGUCCACGCCGUAAACGAUGAGUAAUAAGUGUUGGGUGUCAAAGCUCAGUGCUGCAGUUAACGCAAUAAGUACUCCGCCUGAGUAGUACGUUCGCAAGAAUGAAACUCAAAGGAAUAGACGGGGGCCCGCACAAGCGGUGGAGCAUGUGGUUUAAUUUGAAGCAACGCGAAGAACCUUACCAGGUCUUGACAUCGAUCUAAAGGCUCCAGAGAUGGAGAGAUAGCUAUAGAGAAGACAGGUGGUGCAUGGUUGUCGUCAGCUCGUGUCGUGAGAUGUUGGGUUAAGUCCCGCAACGAGCGCAACCCCCGUUGCCAGUUGCCAGCAUUAAGUUGGGGACUCUGGCGAGACUGCCGGUGACAAGCCGGAGGAAGGCGGGGAUGACGUCAAAUCAUCAUGCCCCCUAUGACCUGGGCUACACACGUGCUACAAUGGACAGAGCAGAGGGAAGCGAAGCCGCGAGGUGGAGCGAAACCCAUAAAACUGUUCUCAGUUCGGACUGCGGUCUGCAACUCGACUGCACGAAGAUGGAAUCGCUAGUAAUCGCGAAUCAGCAUGUCGCGGU